rnacentral:rRNA from 1 species
AUGAUGAAAGACAAAUAUGAGGCGGAGUUGAAGACGAAAGAGAACCAAGUCAUUGAUCUUCAAGAAGCCCUGAAAACCCAACAAGCUGAAACCUCCAAAGCAAAAGAGGAAUUGGCUACUGCUUUAAGCGCCAUGGAACAACCUAAGGAGAACUUCAAGAAGAAACGGGCAGACUGGGCCGCUGAGAAAUCCGCUUUGAUCAAACGAGCCGAGGAUGCUGAGGCUGCGCUAAAACCAGUGGCAGAUGAACUAACCAGCAUAAAGCGGCACGUGCAUGCCAUGACUGCUGCUAUCUUUGGGACACGCAUUGGUCACUUGGGGUCAGAUGUACGGAAGAAGCUAAAAGCCGCCUAUACAUUGGUUGAACAAUUGUAUACUGGUGCCCAGCGGAUCAUCUGUACCGCCUCUCAUAACAAACCGGCGCUUACUUUGAUUCAAGAUACCUUGAUGAAACUGUCUGUGCUUCCUGCCCGGAUUGAAGAGCUAAAGAAAUCUGCUGCGUGA